rnacentral:rRNA from 1 species
GAUGAACGCUGGCGGCGUGCCUAAUACAUGCAAGUCGAACGAGGUGCUUGAGUAGCAAUACGAGAGUAUCCUAGUGGCGAACGGGUGAGUAACGCGUUGGUGACCUACCCCAAAGUGUGGGAUAACAGUCCGAAAGGAUUGCUAAUACCGCAUGUGGUCUUCGGAUUUAGAAACUGAUGACUAAAGCAGCAAUGCGCUUUGGGAGGGACCUGCGUCCCAUCAGCUAGUUGGCGAGGUAACGGCUCACCAAGGCGACGACGGGUAGGGGACCUGAG